GAGAGAUUCCUGUGGGUGGGGUUGACUACUAAACAAAGCCUGCAGAAAUCCACCCCGGGGGACGGCCCUGAGGCCGUACAGCCAUGGCGGCGCGCCUUCCGGCCCGCUCCAAUGACAGCACCUAAAGGGAGGAGGAAAUCAACCUUCGAGCAGCCUGGGCACGGGGAGCACCAGAGCGCCCCUGCGAGCCGGGAUUGCCUUCCACUGGACCCGGGAGUUAGCCCUUCCGCGGGGGCCGAGGUAACGGAAAUGGCGGAACGCCGCCAUCGGAGAUGCUCGGUCACUGCCCUAGCGGCCGCAGCACCGCCCGCCCAGAAGCGCAGGCGCCGCCCUCCAGUGGGCGGUGCCGCCUCCUCCUGGAGGGAACUUCCGUUUCUUGGGGCCGGACGACAGAGCCUGCACCAGUCCUAAGGUUCCGGCGAGCCAACGUGGGCGUGGGAUUGGACGCUAAGGUGCUUUGGACUUGGCGCCUGCGCAGAGCGGCCGCGGGCCUCGCAGAGUGGUCCCUUGAGAGAGGAGCUAAGGCCCGAAGUGAAACUAACCCGGCUGCUGCGUUUCAGUGGCAACGUUUGUUGAUGCGCUUACUCUUUUUAGUUUCCGUCAAACCAGUAAAACAGAUGGGACAAAAAUAAAAACAGGCUGGCUGUGGUGAUGGACCCCAGUAGGCAAAGGCUGAAGACUAAAGUACAGAGACCGGAGGAUCCCGAGUUCGAGGACAGCCUGGGGCAAAACUAAACAGGCUGGACCCGGUACUCGCCUUCCUAAAUAAAUAAAAAUAAACAAAUGUAAAACCCUCCAUAAGAACAAUCAAAUAAAAUAUAAAUGGCUAACAGUGAUGGUCUGUAAUAAUAAA
rnacentral:lncRNA from 1 species